AUGUCGACCUCCGACUCCGAGCCCGGCUAUGCAGCCGGCGCCGCCGCGAUAACCACCGCACCGUCCUCCACCUGCUCAUCCAACCCGUCGACACCACCGCCCCAGCCUCCGCCACGCCGCCACAAGAACAUUGUGAGUAUGGCCGCGACCAGCAGGGAGGCGGAGGAGGCUCAGGACGUCUGGUUCAGGCACGGAGCUCAGUGGGAGGCUGCGUGGCCACGGCGCCCGAAGCCCGUGGUCGUCGCCGCCGAGGAGACGGGCAGCACCGGCGCCGCGUCAUCACCUUGUGGCGGCGACGGCGUGGGCCGCGCGAGGAGCCUCACCGACGAGGACCUCGACCAGCCCCUGGCACCGCAGGAGCAGGCGACGGCCGCCACGCCGACCUCCUCGCCGCCCAUUGCCCAGGCGAGCAAAACAAAUCAAACGCCUCCCACUACAAUUCUACUACAAGAAUCGAGUUGUUCUUCUUCAUCUAACGUGGUGGUGGUGGGUGGUGUUGCAGGGGAUAGCACGGAGGAGGUGAAGACGCGGCUCAAGUACUGGGCGCGGGCGGUGGCGUGCACCGUCAGGCUCUGCAGCUGA
rnacentral:rRNA from 1 species